rnacentral:rRNA from 1 species
UACGUAGGUGACCAGCGUUGUCCGGAUUUACUGGGCGUAAAGAGCGCGCAGGCGGUCGUUCAAGUCGAGUGUGAAAGCCCCCGGCUCAACUGGGGAGGGUCACUCGAUACUGAUCGACUUGAAGGCAGGAGAGGGAAGCGGAAUUCCCGGUGUAGUGGUGAAAUGCGUAGAUAUCGGGAGGAACACCUAUAGCGAAGGCAGCUUACUAGGCUGUAACUGACGCUGAGGCACGAAAGUGUGGGGAUCAAACAGG